rnacentral:rRNA from 1 species
CCUACGGGUGGCUGCAGUGGGGAAUAUUGGACAAUGGGCGCAAGCCUGAUCCAGCCAUGCCGCGUGAGUGAAGAAGGCCCUCGGGUUGUAAAGCUCUUUUGUUGGGGAAGAAAAGCAGUUGGUUAAUACCCGAUUGUUCUGACGGUACCCAAAGAAUAAGCACCGGCUAACUUCGUGCCAGCAGCCGCGGUAAUACGAAGGGUGCAAGCGUUACUCGGAAUUACUGGGCGUAAAGCGUGCGUAGGUGGUUGUUUAAGUCUGAUGUGAAAGCCCUGGGCUCAACCUGGGAAUGGCAUUGGAUACUGGAUAGCUAGAGUGCGGUAGAGGGUAGUGGAAUUCCCGGUGUAGCAGUGAAAUGCGUAGAGAUCGGGAGGAACAUCCGUGGCGAAGGCGACUACCUGGGCCAGCACUGACACUGAGGCACGAAAGCGUGGGGAGCAAACAGGAUUAGAUACCCCGGUAGUC